ensembl:lncRNA
CUUCCAUGCUUCAGAUGGAGUUCACUGCCUCUCCAUUUAGUGUUGAGAUGAUGUUACCAGGGGUUUCAGAAAAAUGAAAUGAACUGGACAUUAGGCUUUAUUAGCAAUGCAAUCAUCUGAUUCACCUCCCAACAGAUAAAGAAGGACCAGGGCAGGCUGUGGAAAGAGAGGGAUUCUCAGAAGGCAAUCUUCUGAUUGUCUGCCUCCAUCUUCACCACCAUUGUUGGGGCCUGAUCCAAACGUCCAUUGAAAGUAAGCGCAAUCAAAGCCAACAACAGAAUGGAGCCAUCAUCUUUCCUAAUCAGGCUGCCUAGGGGGAGAAAGCAAUCUAUUAAAGACAGCUAACCUUUGAUGGCAGUGAAUUCUCAAUGGGCAGAUGCCAUUCUGCAGCACUCACCUUGAAGCUGGUCUGGAGCACUUAGUCAUGUCCCUACAUCUCUACAGGAGGUGGAGGUAGUAUCUUCACUUGAACAUGUCUUUUUCUAGAUUUUAUUCUAGCUUCAUUAAACCGUACAUAUAUGCAAC